CCUACGGGAGGCUGCAGUGGAGAAUAUUGGGCAAUGGGCGCAAGCCUGACCCAGCAACGCCGCGUGAAGGAAGAAGGCUUUCGGGUUGGAAACUUCUUUUCACAGGGACGAAGCAAGUGACGGGAGCAGAGGAAUAAGCCACGGCUAACUACGUGCCAGCAGCCGCGGUAAGACGUAGGUGGCAAGAGUUAUCCGGAUUUACUGGGUGUAAAGGGCGUGUAGGCGGGGACGCAGGUCAGAUGGGAAAACCACGGGCUCAACCUGUGGCCUGCCUUUGAAACGGUGUUUCUUGAGUACUGGCGCGGCAGCCGGAAUUCCUUGUGUAGCGGUGAAAUGCGUAGAUAUU
rnacentral:rRNA from 1 species